CCACGGGCAUCAGCAGUGGGGAAUAUUGGACAAUGGGCGAAAGCCUGAUCCAGCCAUGCCGCGUGUGUGAAGAAGGCCUUCGGGUUGUAAAGCACUUUCAGUGGGGAAGAAAGCCUUGGGGCUAAUACCCUCGAGGAAGGACAUCACCCACAGAAGAAGCACCGGCUAACUCCGUGCCAGCAGCCGCGGUAAUACGGAGGGUGCGAGCGUUAAUCGGAAUUACUGGGCGUAAAGCGCGCGUAGGCGGUCUGAUAAGCCGGUUGUGAAAGCCCCGGGCUCAACCUGGGAACGGCAUCCGGAACUGUCAGGCUAGAGUGCAGGAGAGGAAGGUAGAAUUCCCGGUGUAGCGGUGAAAUGCGUAGAGAUCGGGAGGAAUACCAGUGGCGAAGGCGGCCUUCUGGACUGACACUGACGCUGAGGUGCGAAAGCGUGGGUAGCAAACAGGAUUAGAUACCCGAGUAGUC
rnacentral:rRNA from 1 species